rnacentral:rRNA from 1 species
ACGGAGGAUCCAAGCGUUAUCCGGAAUUACUGGGCGUAAAGAGUUGCGUAGGUGGCAGAGUAAGUAGAUAGUGAAAGCGUGUGGCUCAACCAUACAUCCAUUAUCUAAACUGCUAAGCUAGAGGAUGAGAGAGGUUAUUGGAAUUCCCAGUGUAGGAGUGAAAUCCGUAGAUAUUGGGAGGAACACCGAUGGCGUAGGCAGAUAACUGGCUCAUUCCUGACACUAAGGCACGAAAGCGUGGGGAGCAAACGGGA